GAUGAACGCUGGCGGCGUGCCUAACACAUGCAAGUCGAACGAAGCGCUUAAGGGGAACCCCUCCGGGGGCGAACCUUUUGCGACUGAGUGGCGGACGGGUGAGUAACGCGUGGGCAACCUGCCCUGCACAGGGGGACAACAGCUGGAAACGGCUGCUAAUACCGCAUAUGCACACAGCCCCGCAUGGGGGAGUGUGGAAAACGAUAGUGGUGCAGGAUGGGCCCGCGUCUGAUUAGCUGGUUGGCGGGGUAACGGCCCACCAAGGCGACGAUCAGUAGCCGGCCUGAGAGGGUGGACGGCCACAUUGGGACUGAGACACGGCCCAA
rnacentral:rRNA from 1 species